rnacentral:rRNA from 1 species
NUUUCGUGGAGGGUUCGAUUCUGGCUCAGGAUGAACGCUGGCGGCGUGCUUAACACAUGCAAGUCGAACGGGAUCCCGGGGGUUCGCCUCCGGGNGAGAGUGGCGAACGGGUGAGUAAUGCGUGACCGACCUGCCCNAUACACCGGAAUAGCUCCUGGAAACGGGUGGUAAUGCCGNAUGCUCCGGUUGGAUGCAUGUCCUUCCGGNAAAGGUUCCAUCGGUAUGGGAUGGNNUCGNGUCCUAUCAGCUUGAUGGNGGGNUAACGGCNNACCAUGGCUUCGACGGGNNGCCGGCCUGAGAGGGCGACCGGCCACAUUGGGACUGAGAUACGGCCNNGACUCCUACGGGAGGCAGCAGUGGGGAAUAUUGCACAAUGGGCGCAAGCCUNAUGCAGCGACGCNNNNUGCGGNAUGGAGGCCUUCGGGUUGUAAACCGCNUUUGAUCGGGAGCAAGCCCUUCGGGGUGAGUGUACCCUUCGAAUAAGCACCGGCUAACUACGUGCCAGCAGCCNCGGUAAUACGUAGGGUGCNAGCGUUAUCCGGAAUUAUUGGGCGUAAAGGGCUCGUAGGCNNNUCGUCGNNUCCGGUGUGAAAGCCCAUCGCUUAACGGUGGNNCUGCGCCGGGUACGGGCGGGCUGGAGUGCGGUAGGGGAGACUGGAAUUCCCGGUGUAACGGUGGAAUGUGUAGAUAUCGGGAAGAACACCAAUGGCGAAGGNAGGUCUCUGGGCNGNNACUGACGCUGAGGAGCGAAAGCGUGGGGAGCGAACAGGAUUAGAUACCCUGGUAGUCCACGCCGUAAACGGUGGAUGCUGGAUGUGGGGNGUUCCACNGGUUCCGUGUCGGAGCUAACGCGUUAAGCAUCCNGCCUGGGGAGUACGGCCGCAAGGCUAAAACUCAAAGAAAUUGACGGGNNCCNGCACAAGCGGCNGAGCAUGCGGAUUAAUUCGAUNNAACGCGAAGAACCUUACCUGGGCNUGACAUGUUCCNGACGGCCGUAGAGAUACGGNNNCCUUCGGGACGGGNUCACAGGUGGNGCAUGGUCGUCGUCAGCUCGUGUCGUGAGAUGUUGGGUUAAGUCCCGCAACGAGCGCAACCCUCGCCCUGUGUUGCCAGCACGUCACGGUGGGAACUCACGGGGGACCGCCGGGGUCAACUCGGAGGAAGGUGGGGAUGACGUCAGAUCAUCAUGCCCCUUACGUCCAGGGCUUCACGCAUGCUACAAUGGCCGGUACAGCGGGAUGCGACAUGGCGACAUGGAGCGGAUCCCUGAAAACCGGNCUCAGUUCGGAUUGGAGUCUGCAACCCGACUCCAUGAAGGCGGAGUCGCUAGUAAUCGCGGAUCAGCAACGCCGCGGUNAAUGCGUUCCCNGGCNUUGUACACACCGCNCGUCAAGNCAUGAAAGUGGGNAGCACCCGAAGCCGGUGGCCUAACCCNUCUGUGGGAUGGAGCCGUCUAAGGUGAGGCUCGUGAUUGGGAC